rnacentral:misc_RNA from 1 species
GAAAUGCGAUAAGUAAUGUGAAUUGCAGAAUUCAGUGAAUCAUCGAAUCUUUGAACGCACAUUGCGCCCGCCAGAUUUCUGGCGGGCAUGCCUGUUCGAGCGUCAUUUCAACCCUCGAGCUCCCCUUUCGGGGGGAGCCCGGCGUUGGGGACCCGGCGCUAACAACGCCGGCCCCGAAAUGGAGUGGCGGCCCGUCCGCGGCGACCUCUGCGUAGUAACAACCACUCGCACCGGGACCCGGGCGCGGACACGCCGUAAAACACCCCACCUUCCGAAUGUUGACCUCGAAUCAGGUAGGAAUACCCGCUGAACUUAAGC